UACGUAUAAGACUAGUGUUAUUCAUCUUUAAUAGGUUUAAAGGGUACCUAGACGGUAUAAUUAGUCUUAAACAGGAUACGAUUAUACUAGAGUUAUAUAUGAGGAGGGGAGUAUUUAUGGAGUAGAGUUGAAAUUCUUUGAUACCAUAACGACUGGUAACGGCGAAAGCAACCUUUUAUCUAAUAACUGACGUUUGAGGGACGAAGGCUCGGGUAACGAACAGG
rnacentral:rRNA from 1 species